rnacentral:tRNA from 1 species
GGGAACGUGGUGAAAUAGGUAUACACGACGGACUUUAAAUCCGUUAGCAUAAAAGCUGUGAGGGUUCAAGUCCCUCCGUUCCUA